CCUUCUGAAAGGGAGAUUAAUACAAGAUGUUAUCAUGAGUAAGCAUUUUCGCAUGAUUAAAGGUUUACCGGUGUAAGAUGGGGAUGCGUUCCAUUAGAUAGUAGGCGGGGUAACGGCCCACCUAGUCUUCGAUGGAUAGGGGUUCUGAGAGGAAGGUCCCCCCACAUUGGAACUGAGACACGGUCCAAACUCCUACGGGAGGCAGCAGUGAGGAAUAUUGGUCAAUGGACGAGAGUCUGAACCAGCCAAGUAGCGUGAAGGAUGAAGGUCCUACGGAUUGUAAACUUCUUUUAUAAGGGAAUAAACCCUCCCACGUGUGGGAGCUUGUAUGUACCUUAUGAAUAAGCAUCGGCUAACUCCGUG
rnacentral:rRNA from 1 species